rnacentral:rRNA from 1 species
UACGUAGGUGGCAAGCGUUGUCCGGAUUUACUGGGUGUAAAGGGCGUGCAGCCGGGAGUGCAAGUCAGAUGUGAAAUCCCGCGGUUCAACCGCGGAACUGCAUUUGAAACUGUGCUUCUUGAGUGCUGGAGAGGCAGACGGAAUUCCUAGUGUAGCGGUGAAAUGCGUAGAUAUUAGGAGGAACACCAGUGGCGAAGGCGGUCUGCUGGACAGUAACUGACGGUGAGGCGCGAAAGCGUGGGGAGCAAACAGG